UACGUAGGGGGCAAGCGUUGUCCGGAUUUAUUGGGCGUAAAGAGCGUGUAGGCGGCCAUGUAGGUCCGGUGUGAAAACUCGAGGCUUAACCUCGAGAUGUCAUCGGAAACCAUUUGGCUAGAGUCCGGAAGAGGAGAGUGGAAUUCCUGGUGUAGCGGUGAAAUGCGCAGAUAUCAGGAAGAACACCGAUGGCGAAAGCAGCUCUCUGGGACGGUACUGACGCUGAGACGCGAAAGCGUGGGGAGCGAACAGG
rnacentral:rRNA from 1 species